rnacentral:pre_miRNA from 1 species
CAAGUACUCCCUCCGUCCGGAAUUGCUUGUCAUCAAAAUGGAUGUGUCUAGAACUAAAAUACAUCUAGAUACAUCCAUUUCAAUGACAAGUAUUUUCGGACGGAGGGAGUAGAAG